CAGUAUCAUAGUUGCUCACAGUAAGACUAUUGUAGUUUGACUACAUAUAAAUAUUAACUCAAUUAUAAAUUUUUAUAGUAGAUGUUGGCUUCAGUUGGUUGAACUGUGUGAGCGAUGUGUGUGUCUAUAUGGGAUCUAUCGAACUUGAAAGAGAGGAGUAGUCCUAUAAGAUUUGAGAAGCUGAGUCCAUGAGUCUAUGGCCAUAGCAGUGUGAUUGAUAGAAAAGAAUUUUCAUUUGAUAUCACUAAUGGACUUGAGCUGAUCGGAUUUAUCAUAUGAUUGAUAAUGAGGUUUGACGAAUUAUCUAUGACCAGCCAUCUAGUCGGAACUCACGAUAGAA
rnacentral:lncRNA from 1 species